rnacentral:rRNA from 1 species
GACGAACGCUGGCGGCGUGCUUAACACAUGCAAGUCGAGCGGUAAGGCCCUUCGGGGUACACGAGCGGCGAACGGGUGAGUAACACGUGGGUGAUCUGCCUCGCACUCUGGGAUAAGCCUGGGAAACUGGGUCUAAUACCGGAUAUGACCACGGAUCGCAUGGUUUGUGGUGGAAAGAUUUAUCGGUGCGAGAUGGGCCCGCGGCCUAUCAGCUUGUUGGUGGGGUAAUGGCCUACCAAGGCGACGACGGGUAGCCGACCUGAGAGGGUGACCGGCCACACUGGGACUGAGACACGGCCCAGACUCCUACGGGAGGCAGCAGUGGGGAAUAUUGCACAAUGGGCGAAAGCCUGAUGCAGCGACGCCGCGUGAGGGAUGACGGCCUUCGGGUUGUAAACCUCUUUCGACAGGGACGAAGCGCAAGUGACGGUACCUGUAGAAGAAGCACCGGCCAACUACGUGCCAGCAGCCGC